GAUGAAGAACGUAGCGAAAUGCGAUAAGUAAUGUGAGUUGCAGAAUUCAGUGAAUCAUCGAAUCUUUGAACGCACAUUGCGCCCCUUGGUAUUCCGAGGGGCAUGCCUGUUCGAGCGUCAUUAUAACCCCUCAAGCUCAGCUUGGUGUUGGGGCCUGCUGCACUGGCAGCCCUUAAAGUCAGUGGCGGCGCCAUCUGGCUCUAAGCGUAGUAAUUCUUCUCGCUAUGGAGUCCUGGUGGAUGCUUGCCAUCAACCCCCAAUUUUUCUAUGGUUGACCUCGGAUCAGGUAGGGAUACCCGCUGAACUUAAGCAUAUCAAUAAGCGGAGGA
rnacentral:misc_RNA from 1 species